GAUGAACGCUGGCGGCGUGCCUAAUACAUGCAAGUCGAGCGAACGGACGAGAAGCUUGCUUUUCUGAUGUUAGCGGCGGACGGGUGAGUAACACGUGGAUAACCUACCUAUAAGACUGGGAUAACUUCGGGAAACCGGAGCUAAUACCGGAUAAUAUUUUGAACCGCAUGGUUCAAAAGUGAAAGACGGUCUUGCUGUCACUUAUAGAUGGAUCCGCGCUGCAUUAGCUAGUUGGUAAGGUAACGGCUUACCAAGGCAACGAUGCAUAGCCGACCUGAGAGGGUGAUCGGCCACACUGGAACUGAGACACGGUCCAGACUCCUACGGGAGGCAGCAGUAGGGAAUCUUCCGCAAUGGGCGAAAGCCUGACGGAGCAACGCCGCGUGAGUGAUGAAGGUCUUCGGAUCGUAAAACUCUGUUAUUAGGGAAGUACAUAUGUGUAAGUAACUGUGCACAUCUUGACGGUACCUAAUCAGAAAGCCACGGCUAACUACG
rnacentral:rRNA from 1 species